AUUAGAAAGGAAGUAAUUUAAACUAAAUUUUGUGGUAGAAUUUCCCACCUUAGUUCUUCAUGCUUUCUUUUUGAUGUUUCUCUUAACUAGGCAUUUGAAAACUUGAUAAAUAAAAAAAAAAGAACCAGUUUCAAUGCUAAAAUUACUUAAAGCUGUUAGGAGUUCCAGAAAUUAAACACCAUAAUCAAAAAAGACUCACAUAUACUUUACUGAAAGCUUCUAUAGGACUGGACGGGACUCAGAGAAUGUGAGUCAUGAAGAGCUAUAAUUUUCAUGUAAAGCAACUGGAUGUAGUUAAGUAAUAAAAAUUUAAGGUUCUUUCUCUCCAUAUGCUUGGCUGUGUUUGAAUAUUUUUUAAAUGUCUGAUAUUAUACAUACACAACUUAUUUCCUUUGACAUGAGGCUAUGUUGCCAUGAAAGCGGGAAUAUCACUGAGAUAGGUUUAUAAAUUAAGAAUUACACUUAAGGCAUGCUUCUUGAGAUAAAUAGGACCUUUCAUUAAAUAUGACUUGGGUUAAGAAAAGGGGUGCAGUGAGUAAUUAAUUGCAUAAAGUAGUGGUGAAUGUGUCAAUUAAAAUUAGAUUUUGCUACAUGUAAAGAGCUAUCUAAUUAAAUGUCAUUGAAUGAGAAGUGAGUUCUCUCAUGAAACAAGUCUGCAGCAUGGUAUUGCCAAAUUGGUGUGAUUGCUCUAUCAUCAUUAGGCAUAAAGGAUCCUUCUAUUUUCUCUCUUUUUUUCUUCAUCUCACUUACCUACUGAAGCAAUGAAUAUCACUGACUAAAUGGAUGGAGGAGAAGAAAGAUGAUGACAAAGAACCAGUAAUGCAAAUUCAACUAUCCCUGUGUUAUAGAAGCCAGAAAAACUUAAACUGCCAGAUCUCAAGAAGCUUAGCAAAAAGUCAGAAUUUUUUAUUGUUGGAUUCAGAAAGCAUAACUGCAGAAUAAGAGUGGUGGAAGGAAAGUGUCAUUAUUCACUUCAUAAGGAGAAAACCCUGAUAACCUGACUUAUCAUCAAGAUCACUAACUCGAGGUACCCAGUGUUCACCUACUUCACAAAAAAAGACCAAAACAAGAAAAAAACAAUGGCACUUUGAGUAGAUACUCUACAAGAAAACACUGAAUUGAUCAAAGAAGACAGGAAAACCCUCUGAAGCAUGGAACCUUGAAAUCUCAGCAUAGAGAGGUAAGAAAAACACCUGGCCAGGAUUGGCUUCAAAUGCACAGGUAGCAAAAGCAAAACUAGACAAAUUAGAUUAAAUGAAACUAAAAAGCCUCUGCAUAACAAAAAGCUUAGAGUAAAGAGACAUCCUGCAGAAUGGUGAAAAAUAUUUGCAAACUAUUCAUCCAGUAGGAUGUUAAUAUCUAGAAUAUAUUAGGAACUGAAAGAACUCAAUAGCAAAAUAAAAAAAUAAAGAAUCUGAUUAAAUAAUA
rnacentral:lncRNA from 13 species